GACGAACCGAGCGAACGUUGUUCGGAAUCACUGGGCUUAAAGGGCGCGUAGGCGGGCUGCCAAGUCUGUGGUGAAAUCCUCCAGCUUAACUGGAGAACGGCCGUGGAUACUGGCGGUCUCGAGGAAGGUAGGGGCAAGUGGAACUGUGCGUGGAGCGGUGAAAUGCGUUGAUAUGCACAGGAACUCCGGUGGCGAAGGCGACUUGCUGGACCUUUUCUGACGCUGAGGCGCGAAAGCUAGGGGAGCGAACGGG
rnacentral:rRNA from 1 species